UCGAAAGUGUCCAGCUGCCCAUUCCCUCUAAAGUGACGUCUGUAUCACUUCUGCUCGAAAGUGUCCAGCUGCCCAUUCCCUCUAAAGUGACGUCUGUAUCACUUCUGCUCGAAAGUGUCCAGCUGCCCAUUCCCUCUGAAGUGACGUCUGUAUCACUCCUGCUCGAAAGUGUCCAGCUGCCCAUUCCCUCUGAAGUGACGUCUGUAUCACUUCUGCUCGAAAGUGUCCAGCUGCCCGUUCCCUCUAAAGUGACGUCUGUAUCACUUCUGCUCGAAAGUGUCCAGCUGCCCGUUCCCUCUGAAAUGACAUCUGUAUCACUUCUGCUCGAAAGUGUCCAGCUGCCCGUUCCCUCUGAAAUGACGUCUGUAUCACUCCUGCUCGAAAGCAUCCAGCUGCCCAUUCCCUCUGAAAUGACAUCUCCAUCACUCCUGCUUGAAAGCUCUCUCUGACACCUUCAAGGAG
rnacentral:lncRNA from 1 species